rnacentral:rRNA from 1 species
CCGUAGGUGAACCUGCGGAGGGAUCAUUACACAAAUAUGAAGGCGGGCUGGAACCUCUCGGGGUUACAGCCUUGCUGAAUUAUUCACCCUUGUCUUUUGCGUACUUCUUGUUUCCUUGGUGGGUUCGCCCACCACUAGGACAAACAUAAACCUUUUGUAAUUGCAAUCAGCGUCAGUAACAAAUUAAUAAUUACAACUUUCAACAACGGAUCUCUUGGUUCUGGCAUCGAUGAAGAACGCAGCGAAAUGCGAUAAGUAGUGUGAAUUGCAGAAUUCAGUGAAUCAUCGAAUCUUUGAACGCACAUUGCGCCCUUUGGUAUUCCAAAGGGCAUGCCUGUUCGAGCGUCAUUUGUACCCUCAAGCUUUGCUUGGUGUUGGGCGUCUUGUCUCUAGCUUUGCUGGAGACUCGCCUUAAAGUAAUUGGCAGCCGGCCUACUGGUUUCGGAGCGCAGCACAAGUCGCACUCUCUAUCAGCAAAGGUCUAGCAUCCAUUAAGCCUUUUUUUCAACUUUUGACCUCGGAUCAGGUAGGGAUACCCGCUGAACUUAAGCAUAUCAAUAAGCGGAGGAA